rnacentral:piRNA from 1 species
UAUUGCGUUUGCCGUAUUCAU